rnacentral:rRNA from 1 species
UCUCCCAAACGCUCAGGCGUCGUAGGAUGUGGCUGCGGCCGAUUAGGUAGACGGUGGGGUAACGGCCCACCGUGCCGAUAAUCGGUACGGGUUGUGAGAGCAAGAGCCCGGAGACGGAAUCUGAGACAAGAUUCCGGGCCCUACGGGGCGCAGCAGGCGCGAAACCUUUACACUGCACGCAAGUGCGAUAAGGGGACCCCAAGUGCGAGGGCAUAUAGUCCUCGCUUUUUCCGACCGUAAGGUGGUCGGCGAAUAAGGGCUGGGCAAGACCGGUGCCAGCCGCCGCGGUAAUACCGGCAGCCCAAGUGAUGACCGAUAUUAUUGGGCCUAAAGCGUCCGUAGCCGGCCACGAAGGUUCAUCGGGAAAUCCGCCAGCUUAACUGGCGGGCGUCCGGUGAAAACCACGUGGCUUGGGACCGGAAGGCUCGAGGGGUACGUCCGGGGUAGGAGUGAAAUCCCGUAAUCCUGGACGGACCACCGAUGGCGAAAGCACCUCGAGAAGACGGAUCCG